rnacentral:ncRNA from 1 species
CGACCUCAGAUCAGACGUGGCGACCCGCUGAAUUUAAGCAUAUUAGUCAGCGGAGGAAAGAAACUAACGAGGAUUCCCUCAGUAACGGCGAGUGAACAGGGAAGAGCCCAGCGCCGAAUCCCCGCCCCGCGGUGGGGCGCGGGGAAAUGUGGCGUACGGAGACCCACUCCCCGGCGCCGCUCGUGGGGGCCCAAGGUCCUUCUGAUCGAGGCCCAGCCCGUGGACGGUGUGAGGCCGGUAGCGGCCCCGGCGCGCCGGGCCCGGGUCUUUCCCGGGAGUCGGGUUGCUUGGGAAUGCAGCCCAAAGCGGGUGGUAAACUCCAUCUAAGGCUAAAAUACCGGCACGAGACCGAUAGUCAACAAGUACCGUAAGGGAAAAGUUUGAAAAGAACUUUGAAGAGAGAGUUUCAAGAGGGCGUGAAACCGUUAAGAGGUAAACGGGUGGGGUCCGCGCAGUCCGCCCGGAGGAUUCAACCCGGCGGCGGGUCCG